rnacentral:rRNA from 1 species
GUGCCAGCAGCCGCGGUAAGACGUAGGGGGCGAGCGUUGUCCGGAUUUAUUGGGCGUAAAGCGCGCGUAGGCGGCUCGGAAAGUCGGGUGUGAAAAUCCGGGGCUCAACCCCGGACCUGCAUCCGAUACUCCCGGGCUAGAGGCAGACAGGGGAGAGCGGAAUUCCUGGUGUAGCGGUGAAAUGCGCAGAUAUCAGGAGGAACACCGGUGGCGAAGGCGGCUCUCUGGGUCUGUCCUGACGCUCAGGCGCGAAAGCUAGGGGAGCAAACAGGAUUAGAUACCCUGGUAGUCC